rnacentral:rRNA from 1 species
CCUACGUGUGGCAGCAGUGGGGAAUAUUGCACAAUGGGGGAAACCCUGAUGCAGCGACGCCGCGUGAGUGAAGAAGUAUCUCGGUACGUAAAGCUCUAUCAUCAGGGAAGAAAAUGACGGUACCUGACUAAGAAUCCCCGGCUAACUACGUGCCAGCAGCCGCGGUAAUACGUAGGGGGACAGCGUUAUCCGGAUUUACUGGGUGUAAAGGGAGCGUAGACGGCAGCACAAGUCUGCAGUGAAAUCCCGGGGCUUAACCCCGGCACUGCUUUGGAAACUGUGCGGCUGGAGUGCAGGAGGGGUAAGAGGAAUUGCUAGUGUAGAGGUGAAAUGCGUAGAUAUUAGGAGGAACAACGGUGGCGAAGGCGGAUUACUGGACUGUAACUGACGUUGAGGCGCGAAAGCGUGGGGAGCAAACAGGAUUAGAUACCCCAGUAGUC